UACAGAGGUGGCAAGCGUUGUUCGGAAUUACUGGGCGUAAAGGGCGCGUAGGCGGCCUUCUAAGUCAGACGUGAAAUCCCCAGGCUUAACUUGGGAACUGCGUCUGAUACUGGGAGGCUUGAGUGCGGGAGAGGGAUGUGGAAUUCCAGGUGUAGCGGUGAAAUGCGUAGAUAUCUGGAGGAAAACCGGUGGCGAAGGCGGCAUCCUGGACCGACAUUGACGCUGAGGAGCGAAAGCUAGGGGAGCAAACGGG
rnacentral:rRNA from 1 species